UUCCAUACCCUUCCGUAUAUUGUUGUUUCCUGUACUGCAGCUUGAAUGUGAAGAUUCACUUUUGCAAACAUGAACUAUACCCAUCUCUGCUACGAGCAGACAGACAUGGCGACGUGCCGAGGCAACCUUUGCUGCUGUGGCAACAAAGACAGGGUAGGACUGAAUAACAAUUAAACGUACAUGAGUGUAUUGACUACCUAGUAAAGCAGAAUUCAAACAAGACAAACCAGGUAUAUAAUACAAUUUGCUUGCCCAUAUCGAUGUGUCAACAAAUUUUCAAAUCUGUAACAUAGUCUAAAACUGUUCAACAAUCUAGCGAAAGAUAGAUACAGAAUCACCUAAAUAGAAAAGCAUAUAAUGCAGGGCCCAAUACAAUUACACAGAAAAGAAACUCCAAACAAUCACCUUAAUCCUUGCUGAUUUUUGGACAGCAGAACAACAACUAUUCGUUUAGCUCAUAACUCACAAGAUAUUCAUGCAAAAAUAGUAAACUAGGACUUUAUAAAAAGCUUAUAAAGUCUUCUACAUCUUUUGUAUUACAAUCAGAACAAGGUUCGACCUUUAGAAAGGUCAAACAGUGCUAAACAUAAAUUCUGUCCAGAUUUGGACAGAAUUCGACUACUUACUUCAAAAAUCCAUAACUGGAGUUUCAGGCAUCCAAAUCAGGUGAUCCUAGACUUUUUAGAAAGCUAAUAUAAUUGUCUACAAUUCAUUUAUAAACAUCCCAGGUUAAUUCAAUAUAUAUCAAGGUCAGAAAACAUGAGAAAGACUCUGCUGUUCAAAUUUGGACAGAUUCAGAGAUCACACUUCAAACAGCUGUCACUUAACUUAUAGAUCACCAAAAAGGGUGAUCCAAGACUUUUUGGAAAGCUUAAAAAAGUACUACAAUUAUUCUAUAAUUACUAAGGGUUGAUUCUCAGUUUAGCUUAGCCAAACAGUACAAUUUUUGAAACCUGUACAGAAUUUGGACAGAUUCUAAAACAGGACUUAAGAAAAUCAUAACUCCUAAACUACUAAACCUAUGAUCAUGAAAUUUUUACACAAGUAAGAUAAAGAAGUUACCUACAACUUUUCUAUAUAACAUUUCUACAGAAAACAUGGUUUACUUCAUUGAACUAGCUCCUUACGAAACUGGACAUGCAGUCCCAAACAGCAAGCGUUCCAUUUAGCUCCUAUUUGGUUUUUACAAUUAUCAUGUGCUUGACACUUUCUAAUCGCAUAUAUAGAUUUCUGCUAUUUUAUAACCAUGAAUCCAUUUACUUCACAUAAUCUAGUAUUUUGAACCUACUCUGACAUUAUGCAAACAAAGAAUCAAUUUAAGUACACUAUGCAUACACAUAUAUUCAUCCAAGCACAUUCCAUACAAUAUCAUCACCAAGAACUCAUUUUUAUUACACUAUGCAUAUAAAGUCGCUCUCUCUAUUCACCAAAUAUAUGACAUACAACAUACCAUCACAAGGACAAAAGAGAAAAGAGAGAAACAAGCAUUCCCUGACAACAACCCAUAUUCGCCUAGAACCUUUGAUUAAUCAACAUGAUAGAAGAUAAUGAUGACUAAGACUGAUCUUCAGCUUCAUAAAAUAAUUGGCUAAUUUACUUGCAAUAACACUACCUCCCUUGUGCAGUCCUCGGCACAACACUACACUAUAUGCCUAUCAAGAGUAUUCAUCCCAUAAUCAUGUAAUAACCCAUCUAAUAUUAUAUCAAAUCAUACAUCUACCUAUCAAACACGCAUAUAACCAUAUUACGACAUAUAAGGAGUCAUUUCAUCAGAAAUUCAUAUCGAAGCUAAUCCUAACAACACUCCGAAACAUAAAAGACAUACCACUUAAUUCAAACAAGACAAACCAGGUAUAUAAUACAAUUUGCUUGCCCAUAUCGAUGUGUCAAUAAAUUUUUAAAUCUGUAACAUAGUCUAAAACUGUUCAACAAUCUAGCGAAAGAUAGAUACAGAAUCACCUAAAUAGAAAAGCAUAUAAUGCAGGGCCCAAUACAAUUACACAGAAAAGAAACUCCAAACAAUCACCUUAAUCCUUGCUGAUUUUUGGACAGCAGAACAACAACUAUUCGUUUAGCUCAUAACUCACAAGAUAUUCAUGCAAAAAUAGUAAACUAGGACUUUAUGGAAAGCUUAUAAAGUCUUCUACAUCUUUUGUAUUACAAUCAGAACAAGAUUCGACCUUUAGAAAGGUUAAACAGUGCUAAACAUAAAUUCUGUCCAGAUUUGGACAGAAUUCGACUACUUACUUCAAAAAUCC
rnacentral:lncRNA from 1 species